UUUUAUUCAGUCUGGGCCAUUCAUAUUUUAUUGAGUUGGGCCUCAUCUUUUAAAUUUAUAUGGGCUAUUAUUUAUUUAAGCAUGAGCUCUAUUUCAUCUAUUUAAAUGGCUUCCCUAUUUUAUUUAAUUAGACUAUUAAUUAGUUUGAUUAAUUAUUUUUAAAGACUUUGGAUUGCCUUCAAUUAAUUAAAUUGGGCUUUCUUAUUUUUAAUUAAUUGAACUAUUAUUAGUUUGAUUAAUUUAUUUAAAGGAUAAUUUUUAUAAUAAUAUUAAAUUAUUAUUAAGUGCAUAUUUUAAGUAAUUACUUAUCAUAUGCUAAGCAUGACAUGACAUUUCAUUUGCAUCAUGAAAUAAAAAGUAUUUAUGAUUUAAUUGGUUUUAUUUAUAAUUCCAAUUAUUAAAGAAAGAUGAGUAAGAAUAUUGUUGGUGUUCUUAACUCAAGAGAAAUGUUUUCAAUUAUUUAUUCAUUAAAUUUUGAAAACCCGGCUAAGUGAAUCAUAGAAUAUUAAGCACUUCACCAUGAAUUAAGAUUAGCUUCACGAGACCUAUUAAGAAUAGAAUUUCUUGUAGGCUUUGUGACCAGGGGGAUUAGCGCUGCUUUUCCAAGACAGGUUUAUAAGUGAUUACGAUCUUCAGGCUUUGCCUAACCAGGUUGGCUGGCCGGUGCUGACGGGACGGAGCUGAGGCUAGAGUUAAAUUCCUAUGUUAGACUUCCGCUGUAGCAAUUACUCAUUUCAGUCUUUUGUUUUUCCAACUUAAGAUCUUCAUGUUAAAUUUCAAAUGAUAUAUUUGACCGAGCUUAGAUUCUUCACUACUAAAUUUAUGCCAAUGAAUGUCGGUUGUCAGAAGCAUGAAACAAAACUUAUGAUCCAAAGGGGCAUAGCCCGAGUUUCUAUCCUAUUUCGGGUUUUAACAAGGUAUUUCCCUUGUUUA